CCGGUUUGCCGCGGGGAAGAAGAUGCGGCCGAUCCCUACUCCUAUAAAACGCCCGCGUCCCGGAGCCGGAGCCUUCACUUUUUUCGGCCCCCUCCAUCCGUUCAAGCAACAUCCGCGGAUCCGAUUGGCCAUCAAAAAUGAAGAUUACAGCGGGGCUCGUGCUCCUUCUGGCCCUCGCAGCACCUCAUCACUGCAAGCGG